rnacentral:tRNA from 2 species
GCCGCCGUAGCUCAGGGGUAGAGCGCGCCCUUGGUAAGGGCGAGGUCGACAGUUCAAUUCUGUCCGGCGGCACCA